GGAGUGGGACGGGUGGUCGCAGGGGGCGUGAGCUUCCUGAGGAAAGUCCGGGCUUCAUAGGGCAGGGUGCAGGCUAACGGCCUGGCGGGGUGACCCGACGGAAAGUGCAACAGAAAGAUACCGCCUGCCCCCCCCCAGCCCCCGCUCGCGGGGGAGUUUGGGAGGGGGCGGCAAGGGUGAAAUGGUGUGGUAAGAGCGCACCGGCGGUGCGGUGACGUACCGGCCCGGCAAACCCCACUCGAAGCAAGGUCAAGGGAGGUGCUGACGCGGCUCGCCGAGCCUCCCGGUAGACCGCAUGAGGCGCACGGUAACGGGCGUCCCAGAGAGAUGACCACACAAACACAGAACCCGGCUUAUAGGCCCACUCUCAAA
rnacentral:RNase_P_RNA from 1 species